AGAGCUGAGAGAAUAAACCUGUAUCAACGGGGUUUAUUAGAUCGGCUUGCAGGUGAGCUGGGCAGCCCAGUGAACAGCUGGUGCGUGCUUGAGAGGCAGAGAAAUCGGUUUGCUGCUCAGUCCAAUGCUAGAUGCUUUAGCGGUUCCAAUCUGUCCAUGGAAGCCUGGAGGAGAGACUUCGGUUAGAGGACAGAGAGACCUGUGUUCUGGUGUUGGAAGGAAUGCUGCUGCAGUGGCCAUCAAGUGGUGACACACAGUCAGCAAGCAAAGUGGAACGGAGGUUAUGUGACCCUCACAAGGAUGACCUAUGGCUCUGUUCUGCAAUGGCUUCUAUAGCAGGACUGGUGAGAGUGCAGGCUUCUAGUGUUCCCUCUUGGGCACUGCCCAUUGCUCUCAAUCCGUGACUCUUGCUGCUACGCGUCACUGGGCUUUUGUCGUGUCUGUCUUGUGUCCCAAACCUCAGGAGAGGAUGUGAUGACUCCAAUGGUCCCCUGAAUUCACAGAGCAGAGGCAGCCCAUAACAUAACCAGCUUUGGGAACCGGCCGGUGGUCCAGUGUCUACUUGCUGACCGUGGAGACAAUAGGCGCAUGCGCUCUCAGUCUCAAGGUGGGCGUGGCACAAACUGGCCAGGUUAGGUUUCCCGUUGGCAAAGUGAUCAGAGGCUUCAGCCUCCACCAUCACCCAGCUAAUAAAUAUCCCACAACAGCUCACUAAAGAUCAAAUGGCACGUGGAGGACCAUCUGAAUAGCAGAGUAAACGAACAAAGAAGUAACUGAUCCCUAAACUGUUAACCGGACAAUUUGAACUGAGCCUUUCUACCGUGCUGUGAGAGACCCAAGGGACACGAGCUAUCACAUCCCCUCUCCACGUCAUCAACAGCUGUUUGGGGAAUGAGAGAAAAUUGCCUCAGAUAAGUACGCACUAUGGCUGGUCAUGUUUGUGGGUGUACAAUGGGGUGAGCGGUACCACAUCACACCCUGGGUCUCCCUCACAUCACACCCUGGGUAACCCCCCACAUCACACCCUGGGUACCCACACACACACACAUCACACCCUGGGUACCCCCCACAUCACACCCUGGGUACCCCUCACAUCACACCCUGGGUACCCACACACACACACAUCACACCCUGGGUACCCCCCACAUCACACCCUGGGUACCCCUCACAUCACACCCUGGGUACCCACACACACACACAUCACACCCUGGGUACCCCCCACAUCACACCCACACACAUCACACCCUGGGUAACCCCCCCACAUCACACCCUGGGCACCCCCCAC
rnacentral:lncRNA from 1 species